GCAUGGUGAUGACAAUAUCACUUACCUCUUGUGAGGACCUGGCUUCUCACGGCUGCUGAGAACGUAUUGCCCUGUUGGGAGACACCAGGGAAUUACAAUUUCAAUGCUAAGGAGCAGCACAAGGGGAUAGAGAGCAGACAAACUGCAUUAUCCUGCCCUAUUCUUCUUUGGUCAAAGACACUCCUCAGUGAUGCCAAGCUAUGGUUAUCCCAGGAUGCCUUCGAGCCCAGUUUGGUUGAAGCAGACAGGGAUGGUGCACUAGUCUGUGGUCUGGCAGCAGGGAAGGGGGGGACCCUGAGCUGGUUUCUGGUCAGUGGGAACCUGCAAGGUCAGUGUUAGUUUUACAGAACAUCUCUCCAGCUUCAUCUCCAUGUGGCCUAUCAGCAU